UUCUCUUUCUAAUCAUCUUCUUAUGUUAGAAUCUUCAUUGUUGAUGAAGAUUUACACUAUUGUAAAUUAAAUACAUUUGUUAGUGUUUGGUUGGUUCCAUAGGAAGGUGCUUCAAGUCAUGUUUGAGUUUGUCUUAAAAAUUAGACUUUCUAAUAAUGCUGUCAGGUAUAAUGACAUUGCCAAGUUUGGGUAUGCUGCAAUGCGAUGAUCCAAGUUCACAGGAUAGAAAGAAUCAAGCCAAAGCAAUUCUCCAACUUCACAAAAUGCUAGUCAUGUGAAAAGACUAGCUGGCCUGGGAGGGUUGUAGUGAAAUAUUUGUGGAGAAUACAAAGGGUUCCACAUCC